GAUGAACGCUGGCGGCGUGCCUAAUACAUGCAAGUCGAGCGAACGGACGAGAAGGUUGCUUCUCUGAUGUUAGCGGCGGACGGGUGAGUAACACGUGGAUAACCUACCUAUAAGACUGGGAUAACUUCGGGAAACCGGAGCUAAUACCGGAUAAUAUUUUGAACCGCAUGGUUCAAAAGUGAAAGACGGUCUUGCUGUCACUUAUAGAUGGAUCCGCGCUGCAUUAGCUAGUUGGUAAGGUAACGGCUUACCAAGGCAACGAUGCAUAGCCGACCUGAGAGGGUGAUCGGCCACACUGGAACUGAGACACGGUCCAGACUCCUACGGGAGGCAGCAGUAGGGAAUCUUCCGCAAUGGGCGAAAGCCUGACGGAGCAACGCCGCGUGAGUGAUGAAGGUCUUCGGAUCGUAAAACUCUGUUAUUAGGGAAGAACAUAUGUGUAAGUAACUGUGCACAUCUUGACGGUACCUAAUCAGAAAGCCACGGCUAACUACGUG
rnacentral:rRNA from 1 species